rnacentral:rRNA from 1 species
CCUACGGGUGGCAGCAGUGAGGAAUAUUGGUCAAUGGCCGAGAGUCUGAACCAGCCAAGUCGCGUGAAGGAUGACUGCCCUAUGGGUUGUAAACUUCUUUUAUCUGGGAGUAAAAUGUUUCACGUGUGGCUUUUUGUAUGUACCCUAUGAAUAAGCAUCGGCUAACUCCGUGCCAGCAGCCGCGGUAAUACGGAGGAUGCGAGCGUUAUCCGGAUUUAUUGGGUUUAAAGGGGGCGUAGGGGGGAGGUCAAGGCAGGUGGGAAAUUUGCGGGCACAAACGUAGAACUGCAGUUGAAACUGGAUCUCUUGAGUGCGCGAGAGGUAGGCGGAAGGCGUGGUGUAGCGGUGAAAUGCAUAGAUAUCACGAAGAACUCCGAUUGCGAAGGCAGCACACUGGCGUGCAACUGACACUGAGGCACGAAAGUGUGGGUAUCGAACAGGAUUAGAUACCCGUGUAGUC